UAGAAACCUAAUGUGUGCUUGGAUUUUAGGUUGGUGAUGGAUCCAUCAAUCAUGUGGUAAGUUCAUUGUACAUACAAAAGAUCACUAAAAAUCCACUGAGAUGGGCCACCCCACUAGGAACAAUCUAGAAUUGCACCGAAUCCAACACAUGAAGGUGAUAUUGAGGUUCCAUUUUGUAGAGAGGGUUGAGAUGAGGUGUGUGCCUGAUCAACGAUCACAAUUGCCUAUUUUUUAAAUGUGUUUGAGAGAAUUUAGGCUUUGAAUUUGGGUUGUCUUCGAAUAAUUCAAACUAUUUAUACGAUGUUUCUUAUAUGGUAGAUAGAUAACCAAUAAAAUCUUUACAUAUGAUUGAUACAUUCAAUCGAAGAGAUUUUUGGGUCAUCCCGCAUUCGGGAUGUCAAUGGGUUCUGGACCCAUGGGUCCGGGUACUUGAUGGACCUGGCAUAACUUUAAGGGGUCCAGGUCCCAUAGAUAAAUUUGAACAGGCCAUAUAUUUCCUUUCCUUUUCUUUGAAAAUUUUAGGUACUAUCAUUAACAAUAAGAGUUGGGCUUUUGGCGUGGCUUUAUCCUUGGGCAGGUAUUCUAAGCUCGAUUGGAUGGAUAUAUUAGCAAACUGAAGAAUAUAUCAAUGGUCAACUGAAAAAUAAACAUGGUGGUACUUUCAUCCGAGUAAAUAAUGGUAUUCUAAGCUCGAUUGGAUGGAUAUAUUAGCAAACUGAAGAAUAAAUCAAUGGUCAACUGAAAAAUAAACAUGGUGGUACUUUCAUCCGAGGAAAUAAUGGUAACAUAGGUCCAUUUUUACUAAUAAAUGUGAUUGUGUUUUUUUACUUUUGAUUGAUGAGGGAUGGGGACCAAGGACUGAUGAUGACUUGCCCAAGCUGCCUGUGACUCAUCCAAGUCUCAAUUGGAAUCAUGACUAAAUGAUUCAGCUGGAAUUGUUGAGUCAAAACACAAUGAUGAGGGCAUCUACUUUCUUUAUUGAUGCAGUUCUCUAUUUAUCAGUACAUGCCAAGUAACCAAACGUAUGUUAUCAGUAUUAUGUGCUUAACUCUUUUUUUUUUUUUUCCAGUGUGGCACUACCGAAGAACAUAAAGAGGCGAGGUAUGGAAUAAUCCAUGAAGAUAAGGAAACCAUUUCCUUUGAACUUUGCUUACUAGUUAUCUUGUAUUAUGCAAUGAAAAGGCCAAAUUGACAUGUGGGUUUUGAGUUCCGACUUGAAUAGGCUUGGGUCUGUAAGGACUCACUGACGAGCUUAGGCUAGAUUUAGCCUAGGUCGGCCUGGCCUAUGGGUCAACUGACUCAAACCGCUUUU